AAAGGAAUUGACGGGGCCCGCACAAGCAGUGGAGUAUGUGGUUUAAUUCGAAGCAACGCGAAGAACCUUACCAGGGCUUGACAUCCCUUGAAGCAGCUAGAGAUAGCUGUGUCCUUCGGGACAAGGUGACAGGUGGUGCAUGGUUGUCGUCAGCUCGUGUCGUGAGAUGUUGGGUUAAGUCCCGCAACGAGCGCAACCCUCGACCUUAGUUGCCAGCAUUCAGUUGGGCACUCUAAGGUGACUGCCGGCUAAAAGUCGGAGGAAGGUGGGGAUGACGUCAAAUCAUCAUGCCCCUUAUGACCUGGGCUACACACGUGCUACAAUGGGCGGUACAAAGGGUCGCGAACCCGCGAGGGGGAGCCAAUCCCAAAAAGCCGCUCUCAGUUCGGAUUGCAGGCUGCAACUCGCCUGCAUGAAGCCGGAACCGCUAGUAAUCGCGGAUCAGCAUGCCGCGGUGAAUACGUUCCCGGGCCUU
rnacentral:rRNA from 1 species